AUGGUCAUGACUACAAUGAGACAUUUGCUCCUAUAUAUAUGGCCCACACGACCACUCUUCGCACACUUCUCAAUGUGGCUUCUAUUCGCCGCUAGUCUGUCUCUCAGCUUGAUGUCAAGAAUGCCUACAAGUAGCCACCACCCGGGUUCUCUUCCUGAUGGCAUGGUUUGUCGUCUUCGUCACUGUCUAUAUGGCCCUGAGCAAACCCCUCGUGCCUGGUUUGAGCUCUUUUUCUCAAUGGUGAUUGCGGCUGGUUUUUGGCGAGUGAUCAUGAUCCUGCACUUCCAAUCCACCAUUCAACUCGUGGUUGAACACUUCUUCUACAUGUCAAUCAUCACUGGCGACGACUCUUAA
rnacentral:rRNA from 1 species